ACAAUGGCCAUCUGCAGGCUGGAGAGUUGGAAGAACCAGUAACUGCACAGUUCAAGAAGCAGAAGCCUUAGAACAAGAGGGAUCAAAAGUGCUGCCCUAGUCAGAGACCAAGGCUUUUGGAAACCACCUGAAGAAUCACUGGCAGAGUCUGCUUUGGAAGAAGGAAGGAUCAAAAGUCUAAUAACCUAAGGAAGCUUCAGUGGUCAAUUUUAUACUAUGACUUCCCAGUGGAGACCCCCACCAGGACUCCAUGUUCCAACCUCCUGCUGGACCACAUGGAUACUAGGUCCCCUCUUACCCAUGUUCAAAAAUAUGGCUGCUUGGCUGGGCACAGUGGCACACACCUGGAAUCCCAGCAGUUUUGGAUGCUGAGUCAGGAGGAUUGUGAGUU